AUGAUUUCAGGUGGUGAAUAAACAGCAGGAGCAGAUGUACUCUGAAGAACAAAGACUGUAAAGUCAUGCAUGAAUCUCUAGUAAUAAAAUGUUAGGCAAGAAAAACAAAGAGCCUGUCCUUUACAGAGAGCUCAUCUACAGCUUCUCCUAGAAGACAUACUGCAUGUUUGUGUUGUCCCGUCCAGAAAUAUAAAACCAAAUGUCUCCACAUCUCCUCCAGAAGCAUCAGGGAGAAAACUCCCCACUCAAUGUUAUUGUUAUUUCACAUGUGAAAAAAGUCUAAGAUAUCCCAAACCAAGAAACAAAUAGCUUCUUGCUUCAUCUUUAAGAUUGUGAAAUGGAGAGGUAAAGAAGUAAACCUGUCAGAAGAAGCUUUUCCAGUGAGUAGGAGGAACAGAA